UACGUAGGGUGCAAGCGUUAAUCGGAAUUACUGGGCGUAAAGCGUGCGCAGGCGGUUUUGUAAGUCAGAUGUGAAAUCCCCGGGCUUAACCUGGGAACUGCGUUUGAAACUACAAGGCUAGAGUGUGACAGAGGGGGGGUGGAAUUCCACGUGUAGCAGUGAAAUGCGUAGAGAUGUGGAGGAACACCGAUGGCGAAGGCAGCCCCCCUGGGUCAAGAUUGACGCUCAUGCACGAAAGCGUGGGGGAGCAAACAGG
rnacentral:rRNA from 1 species